rnacentral:rRNA from 1 species
GACGAACGCUGGCGGCGUGCCUAAUACAUGCAAGUUGAGCGCUGAAGGUUGGUACUUGUACCAACUGGAUGAGCAGCGAACGGGUGAGUAACGCGUGGGGAAUCUGCCUUUGAGCGGGGGACAACAUUUGGAAACGAAUGCUAAUACCGCAUAAAAACUUUAAACACAAGUUUUAAGUUUGAAAGAUGCAAUUGCAUCACUCAAAGAUGAUCCCGCGUUGUAUUAGCUAGUUGGUGAGGUAAAGGCUCACCAAGGCGAUGAUACAUAGCCGACCUGAGAGGGUGAUCGGCCACAUUGGGACUGAGACACGGCCCAAACUCCUACGGGAGGCAGCAGUAGGGAAUCUUCGGCAAUGGACGAAAGUCUGACCGAGCAACGCCGCGUGAGUGAAGAAGGGUUUCGGAUCGUAAAACUCGGUUGGUAGAGAAGAACGUUGGAGAGAGUGGAAAGCUCAUCAAGUGACGGUAACUACCCAGAAAGGGACGGCUAACUACGUG